rnacentral:rRNA from 1 species
GACGAACGCUGGCGGCGUGCUUAACACAUGCAAGUCGAACGGAAAGGCCCUGCUUUUGUGGGGUGCUCGAGUGGCGAACGGGUGAGUAACACGUGAGUAACCUGCCCUUGACUUUGGGAUAACUUCAGGAAACUGGGGCUAAUACCGGAUAGGAGCUCCUGCUGCAUGUUGGGGGUUGGAAAGUUUCGGCGGUUGGGGAUGGACUCGCGGCUUAUCAGCUUGUUGGUGGGGUAGUGGCUUACCAAGGCUUUGACGGGUAGCCGGCCUGAGAGGGUGACCGGCCACAUUGGGACUGAGAUACGGCCCAGACGCCUACGGGAGGCAGCAGUGGGGAAUAUUGCACAAUGGGCGGAAGCCUGAUGCAGCAACGCCGCGUGCGGGAUGACGGCCUUCGGGUUGUAAACCGCUUUCGCAUGUGACGAAGCGUGAGUGACGGUAAUGGGUAAAGAAGCACCGGCUAACUACGUG